AUUGAACGCUGGCGGCAUGCUUUACACAUGCAAGUCGAACGGUAACAGGCCUUCGGGUGCUGACGAGUGGCGAACGGGUGAGUAAUGCAUCGGAACGUACCCAGAGGUGGGGGAUAACGCAGCGAAAGCUGUGCUAAUACCGCAUGUGAUCUGAGGAUGAAAGCGGGGGACCGAGCAGCAAUGUUUGGCCUCGCGCCUUUGGAGCGGCCGAUGUCGGCUUAGCUAGUUGGUGGGGUAAAGGCCUACCAAGGCGACGAUCCGUAGCUGGUCUGAGAGGACGACCAGCCACACUGGGACUGAGACACGGCCCAGACUCCUACGGGAGGCAGCAGUGGGGAAUUUUGGACAAUGGGCGCAAGCCUGAUCCAGCAAUGCCGCGUGCGGGAAGAAGGCCUUCGGGUUGUAAACCGCUUUUGGCAGGAACGAAACGGUGUCCGCUAAUACCGGGCGCUAAUGACGGUACCUGCAGAAUAAGCACCGGCUAACUACGUG
rnacentral:rRNA from 1 species